UGAGCAAUCUGCCCUUCUCAUCGGAAUAAGCGUUGGAAACGACGUCUAAUGCCGAAUACGACCUCCUUUCACAUGAUCGGAGGUGGAAAGCUCCGGCGGAGAAGGAUGAGCUCGCGGCCUAUCAGCUAGUUGGUGUGGGUAACGCCCACCAGGGCGACGACGGGUAGCCGGCCUGAGAGGGUGACCCGGCCACACUGGGACUGAGACACGGCCCAGACCUCCGUACGGGA
rnacentral:rRNA from 1 species